AGGAGUGGAUGCCGAUUUGCCAUAUCCUUCAUACUGAUAUUAAUUAUUUUAUUACAUGAUUUCUUGUUUGACUAUUAAUCAAGUUAUAGCAAGAGUGAAAUGUGUAACCUUAUGUGUGCUGUAUUUCUUUUCCUCAAGAUUAAUGUCCACAUAUUAUGUGUGUGUAUCCAACCGUAAUGAUAAGACACUCGCCAGUGCUAGAAAGCCUUGAAUUUUAGAUAAGUUCUCUGUGUACGUGUGUUAGUAUCUGUCUGUACAGGGAGAAGCUCAGACAGUCCCAGGACAAACAAUCAACUGCCAGUGUCCAGCAUAUCAGAUAUACGUCUUUGGAGAGUUUUAUCUAGGUUUUGGAACCAAUCAGAAUUUUGUUGACUCAUGUAUUGACGCAAUUAGUAUCCUCUGUCAGGGUAUAACUGUGGUUGAUUUUGUAUUGUACUGGGGGCGGCCUGCGAACUCCUUCGAGAGUGUUGAAGCUGACUUCUGCUGAUGAAAUUGCAAACUAUUUUCUUCAAUUAAUGGUGGAGGAUCGGCGGGCAAUAGUUCUUUGUUGACAUCCCUGAUCAAUCAUCAAACCAAGGUAGGAAAGAUUUUAGAUUUAAUAUUAUUGGUUAGGAACUGUCUGUGAGUGGAGGGGGUCGAGAGAAGGAGGAACGAUAGACUCACUCAGACGUGAGGGGGUAGACACCAGCUCCAGGGUGGAGUAGGUAAAUUGGUGUCACAAUAUACCUGUAAAUAAGUAACCUUGUGAGUAUAAGGGGUACAAGUACACAUCGGUAGGUCUUGAUAUAAGAUAUUUAGAGAUGUGUACAGUUACAGAGGGAACAGGUGCACACCUAUAGGUCUUAGAGAGAGAUGUAAAAAUUUGUUUCUAGGUGUGCACAGUCCAGGGGGGGACAAAAACGCAUUCUUAACAGGCAUGUGAACCCGUAAAGGGCAGUGCUGGGUCAAGCACCGAGGGACAAAGGACACAUAAGGCCGUAAAUAGGCAGUGCUGGGUCAAGCACAGAGAGCCAAAAAGCACGAGAGGCCAUAAAGGGCAGUGCAUUUACGGCCGGGUAAGCCAAAGUAGGGGUAUGGGAAAUCCCGAGAAGAAUGUAAGACGCUAGACGGGGGUUCUAGUCGUAUCUCGCUCUUCCAACUCUCGAUCACCCACCAUUACAGACAGGGGCGCCCCGAGCUUAGAAAUAGGCCAGGUCAGUGGUUAGGGAAAAGAGUAUCCAAAAUUAGUGUUUAAAAAUAAAUAGUGAUAAUUCAUAUGUGCACCUAUAAAAAUAUAGGGAUAUAUGCAAAGGGAAAGUAUUGAUUGAUCUGGGAUGCCUCAGGAACAACCCCAAAAGAGCUAAAAUGUAGUUUUCAUGACCCUGAUUGGAUUGGACCAGUAUAUGGAAAUUCUGGAAUAUACUUUGCAAUUUCAUCACGCAGAAGUCAAGUGCUGUUGGUAAGAUCGCCGCCUCAAUAUGUUUUUGGUUUAUGAUAGAAAUAUGACUGACAAAUUAGGUAACCUGGUCAGCCCUGAUAGAAAUAAUGAAACAGAAGAGAGCAAAUGCUGUAAACAGUUUGGCUCUGAAGCUCUGACUUUAAAAAAAUAUAUAUAUUCUCUGAAUUCAUUUAAAGAAUGAUCAGUCUGAGCUUUAAUUCUGAUUGUAAUGUUAAAACAAAAACUUGAUUGGCUUUAAACUUAGAAAGAACCUGAGAAAUAAACAUUUAUAAAUGUAUGUGCCGAUUUGUUAAAAAUAAUCCCAGAAGUAACUGAGUGAUGAUUUAAUCUGAUUCUCUGUGCAUAGAAGGUUUAAAUGACAAAGAAUGAUAUCAUAAGACCUGUUCCAGUUCCUAUAUAAUUGUUGAAAGUCCUGACAAGGAAUACUGAACAGAAUUCUGGGUUAGUGAAAAAAAAAAAAAAAAAAAAAAACUGUAGGCACACAAAUUGGCAGUGGCAUUUUGGAAAAACUUAGAAGCUUAUGUUUUGUUAAAAAAAGAUAAAAUUACUUUGACUACAAUGAAGCCGUUGUUUUAUCUCAUGCUGGCCCCCACCAUGACUCUGGCUUAAGCUUUGAAAGUACCAGAGACAUGUUCUGAGUAAAAAAAAAAAAUAAAGUAAUUCCUAUAUUUACUAAUGUUUGGCCAAAAGAGUAAUUUUAUUG